UUUUCAGGAUCUGAGUUACCUCACUCAGGAUGAUCUUGUCUAUUUCCAUCCAUUCGUCUGCAGAUUCCACGAUGUCAUUGCUUUUAACAGCUUGGCAGCAGGGGCAUCGCCUCAGCAGAGCUGCUUGUGGUGUUGAAGCGAGGAAGACGUAGUUGGCUCAUGAAAUUCUUAUGCUCGCCCGUCUCCAAAAGCAGCAGGCAAAUCUGAGCUCUGACCCACUUAAGAAACGGAAGCAGGCUGGCGGAGCGGGGAGUGAAUUCCUUCUGCCAGAGAGAUCAGAGGACUGGUGCUUACAGGAAGAACCAGGCACCCCAAGCUGGUUCAGCAAAGCCACUUGGUGGCCUGAAGAGCUGUGCCCAGAUGCCUGACUCAGAGGAAGAGAGAGCCAGUUGAGCCCCAGCGUCCGUCCGGGCUGCUUCCUGACCUAAGAAGACACACACAC
rnacentral:sRNA from 1 species